AUAGUUUGAUGCUGGCUCAGAACGAACGUUGGCGGCGUGGAUUAGGCAUGCAAGUCGAGCGGGAUUCUAAUUUUUCAAUUCUUCGGAAGAGAAGUUUUAGAUGAGAGCGGCGAACGGGUGAGUAAUAAAUGGGUAAUUUGCCUCUUUGUUCGGGAUAGCCAUCGGAAACGAUGAUUAAUACCGAAUGUGUUCAGGUGCUGCAUAGCACCCUAUAUAAAGGCGGGGAUUCUUCGGAACCUGUCGCAAAGAGAUAAGCCCAUUUCCUAUCAGCUUGUUGGUGAGGUAACGGCUCACCAAGGCUUACGGGUAGCGGGUCUGAGAGGAUGAUCCGCCACACUGGAACUGAGACACGGUCCAGACUCCUACGGGAGGCUGCAGUCGAGAAUCAUUGUCAAUGCACGAAAGUGUGAACAUGCGACGCCGCGUGGAGGAAGACGGCCUUUGGGUUGUAAACUCCUGUCAGCAGGGAGGAAUUACGGGUUUAUUAAUACUGAACCCGUUUGACAGUACCUGCAGAGGAAGUCACGGCUAACUCUGUGCCAGCAGCCGCGGUAAUACAGAGGUGGCGAACGUUGUUCGGAUUUACUGGGCGUAAAGGGUCCGCAGGCGGUCUUGUGUGUCGGAUGUGAAAGCCCACGGCUCAACCGUGGAAUUGCAUUCGAAACUGCAAGACUAGAGUACUGGAGGGGAGAAGGGAACACUUGGUGUAGCGGUGAAAUGCGUA
rnacentral:rRNA from 1 species